GACGAACGCUGGCGGCGUGCUUAACACAUGCAAGUCGAACGGAAAGGCCCUGCUUUUGUGGGGUGCUCGAGUGGCGAACGGGUGAGUAACACGUGAGUAACCUGCCCUUGACUUUGGGAUAACUUCAGGAAACUGGGGCUAAUACCGGAUAGGAGCUCCUGCUGCAUGGUGGGGGUUGGAAAGUUUCGGCGGUUGGGGAUGGACUCGCGGCUUAUCAGCUUGUUGGUGGGGUAGUGGCUUACCAAGGCUUUGACAGGUAGCCGGCCUGAGAGGGUGACCGGCCACAUUGGGACUAAGAUACGGCCCAGAGUCCUACGGGAGGCAGCAGUGGGGAAUAUUGCACAAUGGGCGGAAGCCUGAUGCAGCAACGCCGCGUGCGGGAUGACGGCCUUCGGGUUAUAAACCGCUUUCGCCUGUGACGAAGCGUGAGUGACGGUAAUGGGUAAAGAAGCACCGGCUAACUACGUG
rnacentral:rRNA from 1 species